GACGAACGCUGGCGGCGUGCUUAACACAUGCAAGUCGAACGGAAAGGCCCUGCUUUUGUGGGGUGCUCGAGUGGCGAACGGGUGAGUAACACGUGAGUAACCUGCCCUUGACUUUGGGAUAACUUCAGGAAACUGGGGCUAAUACCGGAUAGGAGCUCCUGCUGCAUGGUGGGGGUUGGAAAGUUUCGGCGGUUGGGAUGGACUCGCGGCUUAUCAGCUUGUUGGUGGGGUAGUGGCUUACCAAGGCUUUGACGGGUAGCCGGCCUGAGAGGGUGACCGGCCACAUUGGGACUGAGAUACGCCCCAGACUCCAACGGGAGGCAGCAGUGGGGAAUAUUGCACAAUGGGCGGAAGCCUGAUGCAGCAACGCCGCGUGCGGGAUGACGGCCUUCGGGUUGUAAACAGCUUUCGCCUGUGACGAAGCGUGAGUGACGGUAAUGAGUAAAGAAGCACCGGCUAACUACGUG
rnacentral:rRNA from 1 species